CAUAAUAUAUUUUGCUCCAUAGCAAAAGACAUGUAUUUAUUGCAAGAUUUUCUUAUCUUUUCAUAGAAAUAAUCAUGAAAAAGAACUACAUGUAUGAUCAAUAGCAAUAACCGAUUUCCGAACUGCAGUACUUCAAAGAAAACAAAAAUAAAGUGAGAAUGUAUAGACAACGGACAUUAUAUAUUACCUUUUAGUUUUGAGACAAAAAGUUUGGAAAGACUGUAAAAUUUUGGUCCAGACUUUGAAAGUAAAUUGAAAGCUCAAACCUGCACAGAAGAUACAUUCUACACUUUUACAAUAAAGAUAUGAAAGAAAUAUACCACCAUGUGCAAAGCAUGUAGAUAAAUAAAAUAAAAAUAUAUAAAACAAGAUUCACCUAUAUUCUAAAAAUUAGAUUAUGAGAGAUGCUUCUUAAACAUAAAUCAGCUGAUACAAAGAAAAUUGCAACGUAGAUAGAAACUCUGCUACUGUAAUACUUAAAAAAUCUGGUCUAUAAAAACAAUCAAAUUCUGGUGAACAAAGAUAAAAUAAAUACAACAUAUAAAACAUCAGUGAUCUGGGUCACUGAACAUAGAAAUAAGAAGAAAAUGAAAAAGAAUAUUAAUAUGUUCCAGAAUGUUUCUUCUGAGCACCUAAAAAUAAUAAUUGUGCUUCUACAUUCAGCUAAAUUAUAAAAAUACAAACGCUACAAUCACACCAACAUAAUCGAUUCCAAACCAACUGAUGUUAUGUCAUUGCUAAUAACAUAAAUAGAUUUUGUCUGUCUAGAGUAUGUUUCACAAGUGUGACUGUAACAUAUAGGCCCAAAUUCACAAAGAGUUUGAAUAAGUAUGUCUCAAAGUAUAAUACAAACUCACAAUUGAAACUGAUAAAAAGAGGACCUACACGCUUGGUGGAAACCCUUCAUUUUCUCAUAUUUCCAAGGGGGGGGGGAGUGUUUUCAAGAUAUGGGGGUGUUUCAUAAAGAUAAGUGUGACUAAUUAGAUUUGCACUUAAAAAUUUGUGCAGUAAACAAGGCAUCAUUGAAUUGGUUCAACUAUGCUAAGAGGACAACCAUUACUACAUAUUAAUCAAUUAAAUUGUGGUACAUAUCAGUGCAUGUCUGAUUUUAAGCAUGGAUGCUUUAUAAGUCACACUCAACUCUUUUUGACCCCCCCCUCCCCUGGUCCCUGUUGCAUAAGUUACCAUCAUGGUAACAAUGCCAUCCAGUGGUAGUUACCAUGGUAACGCUGAUCAACAGCCAAUCAAAACCAAGGAUUCCAUGCAAGUCACCAUUGGAUGGCAAAGUUACCACAAUGGUCACCUUUAUGCAAUUGGCCCAAGAUCUACAAACAAACAUAAUAUGGGAAUAAUGUAAUAAUUCACCAAUCAGAAUUGUAAUUUGAAGCUUGUAAUGGCAAUUGAAAAUCUUUUACCUCGUUGCUGCAGUGUCACAGCCUUGAAAAAUGAUUUUCUUUCAAAUUAUAGGAACAGACAAGAACUUUCCAAUGAAAUGUUUUAGACAUAAGUUAGGAAGACAUCAUCAUUGCAAAUUGUUUAAAAAGGGUUUGCUUAUAUAUUACAUACUUGUGAUUUGAUUUUCUUCUGAAUAAGAGGUACACUGUACUGCAUGUACUUUCACAUAAUUAU